rnacentral:rRNA from 1 species
GAUGAACGCUGGCGGCGUGCCUAAUACAUGCAAGUCGAGCGAACGGACGAGAAGCUUGCUUCUCUGAUGUUAGCGGCGGACGGGUGAGUAACACGUGGAUAACCUACCUAUAAGACUGGGAUAACUUCGGGAAACCGGAGCUAAUACCGGAUAAUAUUUUGAACCGCAUGGUUCAAAAGUGAAAGACGGUCUUGCUGUCACUUAUAGAUGGAUCCGCGCUGCAUUAGCUAGUUGGUAAGGUAACGGCUUACCAAGGCAACGAUGCAUAGCCGACCUGAGAGGGUGAUCGGCCACACUGGAACGGAGACACGGUCCAGACUCCUACGGGAGGCAGCAGUAGGGAAUCUUCCGCAAUGGGCGAAAGCCUGACGGAGCAACGCCGCGUGAGUGAUGAAGGUCUUCGGAUCGUAAAACUCUGUUAUUAGUGAAGAACAUAUGUGUAAGUAACUGUGCACAUCUUGACGGUACCUAAUCAGAAAGCCACGGCUAACUACGUG